CCUACGGGUGGCCGCAGUAGGGAAUCUUCCACAAUGGGCGCAAGCCUGAUGGAGCAACACCGCGUGAGUGAAGAAGGUUUUCGGCUCGUAAAGCUCUGUUGUUGGAGAAGAACGUUCGUGCGAGUAACUGUUCACGCAGUGACGGUAUCCCACCAGAAAUUCACGGCUAACUACGUGCCAGCAGCCGCGGUAAUACGUAUGUGGCACGCGUUAUCCGGAUGUAUUGGGCGUAAAGCGAGCGCAGGCGGUUGCUUAGGUGUGAUGUGAAAGACUUCGGCAUAACAGAAGAAGUGCAUCGGAAACCGGGCAACUGGAGUGCAGAAGAGGACAGUGGAACUCCAUGUGUAGCGGUGGAAUGCGUAGAUAUAUGGAAGAACACCAGUGGCGAAGGCGGCUGUCUGGGCUGCAACUGACGCUGAGGCUCGAAAGCAUGGGUAGCGAACAGGAUUAGAUACCCUAGUAGUC
rnacentral:rRNA from 1 species